AUGCUCAUUAUAUGUGCACAAUUGCACACAACACCUUUCACAUAACACUAUUCACAUUCAGUUUAGCAGCACGGUACAGAUAUUUUUCGCCUGCCCUUCUGAAUGUCUGUUUGAGCUCAAAUUUGGUAGUCAUGCUCGGUUUUACUUAACGAAAGAAAUUUUAAUCUUUUAGUUUCGACCCCGUUUGGUCGCCGAAAGUCCUACCGAACUGUAAUCUCUAGCAGAUAGUAGUCGAAUUUUAUUUUCCACCUUCCGGGUGUCAGAAUGGGGUGAAACUUUAAUUCUAACCUCACAAAAAUAAUUCUGACAUAUCCUCCAGUUUUCAUAAUUUUCUGACACUGUACAUUUUCUGCAAUUUAUCUGCCCCGUUUCACACAGAAAAUUCUAAAUCUUCUGUUUUCGCUCCGAUUUCAACACGGGUCAUUCCAGACUUAUAUUUUAUGUCUAUAAGUCCAAUAAAAAUAGUAUUUCACACUAUUUUUAUUUAUAUUUAUUUUUAUAUUAAAAAUUCAACAUAUUACAUCCCACCGUAACUUCAUAAUUUAAGAAGUUCGGUACCUUACACGUUCAGUUGCCGAUGGAGUUCGAGCGGAACCGGCAACGAGUGCCGCGGGAGGCCGAUUGCAACUGAAUACAAGCAAUCGGAGAGCGUUGCGAGGUGGGUUGUGCUCACUGA
rnacentral:lncRNA from 1 species